AAAUUGAAGAGUUUGAUCAUGGCUCAGAUUGAACGCUGGCGGCAGGCCUAACACAUGCAAGUCGAACGGUAACAGGAAGCAGCUUGCUGCUUCGCUGACAAGUGGCGGACGGGUGAGUAAUGUCUGGGAAACUGCCUGAUGGAGGGGGAUAACUACUGGAAACGGUGGCUAAUACCGCAUGACGUCGCAAGACCAAAGAGGGGGACCUUCGGGCCUCUU
rnacentral:rRNA from 1 species